AUCAGAAUCAAGCUCCUAACACGUUUGGUAAUCAUGGAGACGGACGGUUUCUGGAGAAGACCAUAGAGAUGAAAACGUCUCGGGGAGGAUGAGGCAAAACAAAGAGGUGAGCGGAGUGAUCAAAGGAGCAUGAAGAGGUCGGAGAUGUUCAGAGUUUACGGCGUUUUGACGAGAGAACAGAAGACGAAGCCUGAGGGACGCAGAGCUGCUGGAAAUCUAACGUCUCUCUGUUUUUCUCUUUUCCUCAGGCUGAAGCUGGAUUUUUUUUACACACCUGAAGGUUUCUGCAGAAAGUGGAGGGAUGGACUCGACUCAGAAAGAAAGAAAGAAAUAUUUGUAAUCCUGGAGAUCUCCAGCUUCAGUGUCGAUGGACCCCGCUCUCCAAAGAUCUUCAACACUUAUAGAUUUUCACUCAGAAACUCUUCCUCUGACUCUUUUCUGUUUAAUAUUUAUUACCCCAACAAAAUAAAAUAAACACAGCGACAUGAAGGGGUUGUUCCAUGUUUUCUAUGUCUGUACAGUCUAUGGUCUGAGGCCUUUAUAUGAAGCAGGCUUAUAUUAGAGACCAGGCCCCACAAACAGGACCUGAAGGACG
rnacentral:lncRNA from 1 species